GGCCUGGCACCUAUUGCAUGGUGAUAGUUCGCAUGCGUUAGUUUAUUCACCAGAAUCCUUUCUCUCAUCUAUUUUCUAUCUAUGUACAUCAGCUUAGUAUUGCGUUGUUUCAGAAGGCUUUCACACUAGUCUAAAGUCAAAAGAGGCUCUCAUCUACCUCUAUGACGGUUGUAUGGUCAGGAUGUCUUACCUUAGAUCUGUACAGUCUAUGGGAAGUGUAUGGUGCCUCUUGACUGCUACUUGCAAAGACAACCCGGCUAUAGGACCAUCCUAGAUAUAGUAGAUGAGAGCCUCUUCUGUCUUAAAAUUAGUGUUCAAGCCUUCUAGACCAACGCAAUAGAUGACAUAAGCCACAGCUUCACAGAACUCAGUCAUGGAGAUAAAGUAUUACGGAACAUUAUUAUUCUUAGUAAACGGUAUAAUUUACAUUCGUAGUACGAUUACCCAUAUUCUGAGUAAUUUGAAGCGCAUGCGCACUAUCACUCCUACAAUAGGUAUGUACCAGGCCGUAUUUUAAUGCGGCCUGGAAUCGAGGCUAAACCUAAGUGAUCGAUACUUCUCUUUGCCAGAAUCUAUUGGUUUUGCUACACCCUCACACACACACACACAAUCCCCCGCAUACAUACACACACACCCCUCCUUACUCCCACCACCCACCCACCCACACCCACACACACACACACACACUCACACACACACACACACACAGCUUGCGUUCACUGGUGUCCCAUACUUCCUGGCAGAGUUUGAUGAUGGGGGAAAUGUGUUCACAAGACCAUUUUCUCACCAACUCACGCAGACAAACAACCAGAUCACUGAAUAUAGGUUAUAGUAUGUUUCUACUACUGUGAGCUCAUGAGGUAAACAGCACUCUCAAGUGAGUAGGUAAGAACAUAUCCGUGAGUCUCGUCACACCGACAAUGCACACCUCUAACGUUUCUAUUGCAUACUCAGCAAAUGUCUCUUCCACAAAUCUGUCAUCAUACCUAUCGAGUGAACACACAAACUGUUCUAGUUCCUGGAACAAUACGUACGGACGACGUUUCUCUCUCCAAUUUGGAAGGGAGGUGUUGGCUGAUCCUCUCAUUCUGAAUCUGCCCAAUCAGAUCAACUGGAAGUCGUGUCUGGCAACAAAGGACGAGGAGACGAAAGCUGCUCUAGAAAUGAGGAAGAACUUUGAACCAUAUUAUUUUGAUUUCACAUGCAACUGACAACGAUGAUUAAUUUCUUUAUUUUCACUUUUACUUUUGUAUAAUUGACGUUUUGUAUAUUAGCUAGUUGUCCAAUAAUAAUUAUGGUUG